CCCUUAGAUGUUCUGGGCUGCACGCGCGCUACACUGAUGCGCUCAACGAGUUUAUGACCUUGCCUGGAAAGGUUGGGUAAUCUUCUUAAAACGCAUCGUGAUGGGGAUAGAUUAUUGCAAUUAUUAAUCUUCAACGAGGAAUUCCUAGUAAGCGCGAGUCAUCAGCUCGUGCUGAUUACGUCCCUGCCCUUUGUACACACCGCCCGUCGCACCUACCGAUUGAAUGGUCCGGUGAAAUCUCGGGACGGCUGAUUAACCGCUUGCGGUUGACGGCUGAAACUUGAUUAAACCAUAUCAUUUAGAGGAAGGUGAAGUCGUAACA
rnacentral:rRNA from 1 species